AAACAAAACCAGGUUGUGACUUCUUUUCCCUUAUACUCCUUCACUGAAGUCAGCUGUAGAAGGGUCUUUUGUAAGAACUGUCUUCCAUGACAAUAGCACUCUGUUACUUUCCCGAUAUCCCUAACUCUUACUUCCCAGACUUUGACACCAAAGCUGGACAAUGACCUAUGACCUAAGGUCGAAUCCCUGUCUGGAGUUCCUCAUUCCGAUCACUUUCUUUUACUUCCCAUAGAGCUUACCACCCAGAACUUGUUUACAUCUCCAUUUUACAAUUUCAUUUCCUCUUUGGGGCAAAGCACCCUCCCAACUAUGUCUCAAGAAAAAUAUUAAAUUUUGUUUGUGUUCCCCUGAGCUAGCAUCUCUGAGCAGGAGAGGUGAUCAGAAAGCAGGACUAAUUCACAUUUAGAUAGCUCUAGGUUUUUAUUCUAUUCCCCGUAAGCGAUUUAUGCUUCUGUGGGUCAGCGGCUCAAAGUCCAGCAGCAAAGACCAAUAUCUCAAAUUGGUGUUUUUGCAUGAUUUGUUUUCUCCCGUUUUAUCUCUCUGCCUUCCAGAUUUCAGCCUGUUUCAGUGUGUCCUCUAAAAACCAAGAGCUUAACUUUCAUGUUUCUUCUAAGAACUAGAGUUAGUUCUUUGACAGGCUCCAUUUGAAUCAGAUUUAAGCAUCCGUACAAAGUGAGGCACUGUCCACAAUCUUAUAUCCUAAGGAAAAACCUCAAAAUGGUGCCAAGAUCCACUCACCAACAGCUCUGCUUCAGCCUAAACUCCCUGGGGGCACCUCCAAGCUGGGAGUCUGCCCAGGAUCUACACUGAAUGCUGUUAGCGGGAAUAAAAAUGCAGUGUUGGUCGGUCUAGAAUAUGAAGACACCUUAGGUGGCUAAAUUGUGUUGUACACAAGUUAUGUCUCAAUAAAGCUAGUUUUUAAAAAAAUAAAAGUGGGAGGGGAGGGACCCAGAAGCCAAUAGAAUGCUCAAUUUUAGGGAGACAGGCAAGGUUUUUAAAUAGUUUUUCUAGGAGUUAGUUAAACAUACAGGCGUUAAAAAAAAUAACACACAGGAAGUCCCAGAUAAAUAUCAUUAAACUUCUUAACAACGUAGAUGGCAGCAUUUACCUUGCUGACAUAGAUUACCCUGAGAAAGCAGCCUGCAACAUUGGAACUUCCUGAUGUGUUUUACUAUGUAAUGAAUAAUUAAGCAGCAAAGCCGGAAUGUUCCUUUACACUUGCAAAGAGAAAUGAACUGAGCGCUGAUGAGAUGGCACUGUCUGUAAGUGCUUGUGUUAGAAGCAUGAAGACCCGAACUAGAUCUACUGGAGCCCAUGUGGGAAACGGGAUGUGGAAAUGUGUCUGUGAUCCCAGCAUGGGUGAGGCAGAGACAGAAUGAUAUCCACGAUUGACUGGUUGGCCAGCCUAGGCAAACUGGAAAGCUCCAGCUUCAGUGAGAGACCCUGUCUCAAAACAAGGUGGAGAAAGAUUGAGGAAGAUGCCCAGCCCUGACCUCUGACCUCUGACCUCUGACCUCCACAUGCACACAGGUGUGGGGUCGAGUAAUUUUGAAAAUGGCUUAAUGCCGUAGACCUACUCUCCCCAGAUAGACACGGGCUCACACUGGCAUGCAGUGAAAGAUGAGACGUCUCUUACCUGCUGAUGCCUCCCCACUUCUCACUGGAUGGAACCAAGGUCUUUCAACGUGGCACAGCUCUCCACUGGUUUGAGUGGCCUGAGGUAACAUACCACAUUACACCUUGUGCAUAGCGAGGUGCAUUCUUUGCUGCAAAGGGACUUUUAGAGCUCUGGGUCCCCAUAAAGAUGCAGUUUUCUUUGAGCAAUCCCGAUAACACGUCUUCACAAGUGCAAAGCACUCUGGGAUAUUCAAAUUCACCAUCCCUAUGAUUUGAGUGGCGGGUGCUCCAGCAGAGACACUAUAUGAAGGUCAAUCUUGGGAUUAAAUACGAGCCAAUUAAACAGUCAACGCUUUAUUACAUUUUACUUAUUCUUACAUAAAAUCGUUUUCUGUUAUCAUGUGGGUGGGUAGACAUGUGCCUCAGAAGGCUUUGGAGUUCAGAGGACAGCCUGUGAAGUCUGUUCACUCAUUCUACUUUGAUGUGGGUUCCCAGGAUUGGAGUGGGUUGGUGGGCUUAGGAUGCAAAGGUUUUUUCCUCUGAGCCAUCUCUUCAACGCUCAUCAGUCAAUGCUUUAGUGUAAAAUUUCUCUUAUUCUUUGAUUUGAAAAAGCAUACAGGCUAAGAGCCUUCUUCCUAAACUCACUUUUCCUUGAAAGAGAUUUCCAAGGAGGAUGUUGCUGAAGAUUUUAACUGAAAUAACCGUAUUACUCAUAAAAUCCUAGAAAAAAAAAUUACCAGCACUUAAAGGCAGCAACAAAAACUUCAUUUAAACAGGGAUGCUAGAGGAGGUCAUUCUGGGGAUCGCUGUGAUUGGAGAGUGGGUCACGUGACACCAGGAAGGCCCUCACAGUGACUGUACACAUGCGCAGUGAAUGAGUGACUCCUUGGAAAAGCAGCCUAUAGGUAUAACUUAAUGGCCAUCUGACAGUCAGAGUCAGCAAUGACUGACACACAGUGGAGCAGAACAGAAGGAUGGCCUCCUCCCCGGGGAAGCCCCAAGAGUACACUUAACGUGUGCCUGGUACAGAACAGACCGUGUGUGUGCUGCCACUUAUAAGUCCAGCACUUGGGAGGGAGGUUGAGGCAGCAGCGGGAAGGCAAAUUCAAGGCCGGUGUGGACAACAUAGCUAGACGUCGUUUUUGUACAACAAGACAAACAGAAUAGAAAAAUCGAUGCUACGAGUACUAAUUUGACUAAUUAAAAAGGGGUACGGGGGAUGGAAUGCCUUUUAUUUUUCAGGUCUGUGAUAGCCAACUCCUCCGAGGCCAAAUGGCUUUGGGAACAAGCAACCUUGGUGCGAACCAUCAUGAAAACGCUUCGUGUCAAAAUGAGAAGUUUCCUUUCUCCAGGGAGUAUCCAGGUAGGCAGCAGGGGCUGCUCUCAGCUGCUCUUGAUGCUUCGCGAAGUAGCUCUGCUGAAACCAGCAUGUAGACGGCCUCCGGGAGUCUUCUUUAAGUGCUCAGUCUGACUCAGGGAGCCUGGUUGUGGCCUGGGCCCGUGUGACGUGGAGAUGGUCAUCAGCGGUCCACACUGACAAUAAGGUCGUAGGAGAAGAGGCAGAUUGAAAGAUGCUCAGGUACAAGGAGGUGUGUGAGCCGCACUCAGAAUCUGGAGAUCCCAGGAGAACACACAUAAGUUAGCCCAGCAUCCUGGGUUCACACUGUGUUUCAACGCUUGGUGCAAAGCAGCGGGCACCCAGUGCUGUGCCUCUGCACCCUGGUUCCCUGGCCUCCAAGGGCUGUGAAGACCACUAAGGGACCGGAAUAGCAUUACUAACUCAGCCACAGCAUCUCUAUUAUGGCCACAGACAAAAAUUCAGGAGGUGACCUGAUGGUUCCUUGUGGCACCAAUGGCAGAAUCUCUACUGACAAAGUAUUAACAGAAACCCCGAGGUCCCUCUUAGUCAGCAGUGUAGAUGCAACCAGCCAUUCCAAUAAGACCCCAGUGUUAGAAUAGCCAGCUUUCUUUUGCUGCCACACAGCAUGUGCCUCACGGGUCAAUACAUUGUGUUUGAAAUUUGUUCAUCUUUCAUAGACAGCCAGACCUGUCCCUGGCACAGGCCUUAGCUCUCCUUGGAGCAUACCCUGCAGUGGGAUGACCUAGUCACGCGGCCCCUGGCAUCCUGCAGAGCUUUGCAGAAAUAACUCUGCAGCCACUGGUAUUGCCCUGGAAAAUGCUCAGCUAAAGGCAAAGGGGAGGUUUUGUGAGUAGAUUGCAUCCUGCUAAGUAAAACUCUCCACCAGCUUGUCAGGGAACUCGAGAAGUACCUGAGCGCCACCAAGACUCAACAUCCUGAGGGUUCAGAGGCAGGAAACCUUUUGGUACCUUCACAAGCUGAGUGAAAAUCCGUAGAGAAUCCUGUAAUCUCUGCAAAAACCGACAGUGCUGAGGUCCAACCAGUAAGCAUUUAGGCAAAGUGUUACUAACCAUGAAGAGAUGAAAUGAGUCUUCACUCUUAUACAGGGUGCAUCACACCGCCCCGGUUUGGGGAGCUGACGGUUAAGCUCUACUGCCUUCCUCACGUCCACAUGAUCUUAUGCAACGCUUUAAAAUUAACUGCCAGUUUUACCGAUUAUGAUUUACAAACUGUAAUUUAAGACGUUGGAAACAGAUUUUCAUGUAAGAGCUUUGAUGUGCAAUCUCAUAGUUGACACUAAUCUCCAUGACAGUUUUCUUUUGUGAAAUUUCGCUCCAUAGAAGGGAGGUUUUAGGCUGGGGUCAUCCACUUGGGAUGAAUUCUACCUUCUGUUGGGUGUGAUUUUUCAAGAUAGGAUGGAGAGAGAAGGGGGAGGGAGUGAUUAUAAUUCUGUCCGCUCAUUGCCUUUCUUGAUAGUACUUAAAAUGUAUGAUUAUUCUAGAGAAGAUAAUUAGUACAUUUUUACUAAUUUAUGUGUUUUUUGAGACAGGGUUUAUGUGUCUCAGGUUGGCCAUAGACAGCUAACUUGCAGUAUGAGAUCAGUUACUGAGCAUGAGAUGGAUGCUUCAAGCAUCUGCAGAAAACGUUGGACUGCUGUGCUCGUAGUACCACCGUCUGUCCAGGAGAUAGCAUUCGCUAUGAGGUGAACUACAGUCUUCCUGCGUUUAUGUGAAACAUUUAUUUUCCUUGAGAGUUUUUGUUGUUUUUCCUAUGCUUGCCUUUCUCAUUUCGUUGACAUCUGACUCAAACAUUGUUCUGUUUGAAAGAGAUGUCACAAGUUACUCUGUCUGGUGUAGCAAUGUUGGUCCUGUCCUGGGGCCACCUCUCCUGGGGUGGACUUUCCCAUAAUGUAAAGUUUGUCCCAUUGUGUACCAACAUACCCUCAACACAGUCUUCAUUACCGCCAUCUUCUGAGUGAUUUCUAGACACUUGGUAGAUACUUCUGAGGGUUGGUCUUGUCAACUUGUUAGGGUUCAGGGUUGCCUAGGAGACAUGCUUUUAGGUAUAUCUAGGAGGGAUUUUCCAGCAAGGUUUAACCGAAGUAGGAAAUUCAAGCAUGAAUCCCCAAAGUAGGCAGCCUUAUUUCGUAGUUUGGGAUCCCAGACUGAAUAAAAGGGGGGAAAUGAGCUGUUUUAUCUCAGUCUUAGUUUCUUGACUACAUAAGCAAAGUGACCAGCUGGCCCACACCUGGCUGAUGGGCUGUGCUCUCAAAUUGUGAGCCAAAAUAAACCCUUUUUGUCCUAAGUUGUCUUUGCCAGGAAUGUUGUCCUAAUGAGAAAAGUACCUACUACAGUGGUCAGCUAAACUUGCAGAAUGAGUGAAGCAUAGACAAGAAUCUAUCCCAUCGAUUCCCAUUUCAUUCUUGCAUUAAGGCUUCUGCCUCAGCGGAGUUCUGGGUUUGGAAGGGACAUAGUUCAGGAAUUCACAGGACGUUUUUUGGCAAGGUGUGCUCUGUGUGACAUUCUUGCCUACGUAGAGCAGCAUUAUUAGAAAAAGCCAUAUGUGUUGUUCACUAUGGCUAUAGGUUUAGAGAUGGGUCAAGGCUACCAGCCAGCAUUUCACCAGGGGGCAUUAUCUAUCUAUCUAUCUAUCUAUCUAUCUAUCUAUCUAUCUAUCUAUCUAUCUAUCUUUACACUCCAGAUUUUAUUCCCCUCCCGGUCCACCCUCCGACUGUUCCACAUCCCAUACCUCCUCCCUGCACUCCCUGUCUCCAUGAGGAUGUCCCCCCACCACCACCACACCAGACCUCUAAACUCCCUGGUGCCUCUAGUUUCUUGAGGGUUAGGUGCAUCUUCUCUGACUGAACCCAGAUCCAGUAGUCCUCUGCUGUAUAUUUGUUGGGGGCCUCAUAACAGCUGGUGUAUGCUGCCUGGUUGAUUAUCUAGUGUCUGAGAGAUCUCAGGGGUCCAGGUUAAUUGAGACUGCUGGUCCUCUUACUGGGUCACCUUCCUCCUCAGUUUCCUCCAGUUUUCCCCUAAUUCAACCACAGGGGUCAGCAUCUUCUGUUCAUUGGUUGGGUGCACAUAUCUGCACCUGACUCUUUCAGCUGCUUGUUGGGUCUUUCAGAGGGCAGUCAUGAUAGGUCCUGUUUUGUGAGCAUUCCAUAGCCUCGGUAAUGGUGUCAGGCCUUGGGGCCUCCUCUUGAGCUGGAUCCUACUUUGGGCCUGUCACUGGACCUUCUUUUCCUCAGACUUCUCUCCAUUUCCAUCCCUAAAGUUCUUUUAGACAGGAACAAUUAUGGGUUAGAGUUUUGACUGUGGGAUAGCAACCUCCUCCCUCACUUGAUGCCCUGUCUUUCUGCUGGAGGUGGCCUCUACAAGUUUCCUCUCCCCACUGUAGGGAAUUUCAUAUAGGGUCCCCCUCUUUGAGUCCUGAGAGUCUCUGACCUCCCGGUUCUCUGGUACAUUCUGGAAAGUCCUCCCAACCUCCUGUCUCCCAAGGUUGCCUGUUUCCAUUCUUUCUGUUGGCCCUUGGGACUUCAGUCCUUUCCUCCCACCCAAUAGUAAAUCAUGUUCCCCUCUCCACCCCCCAUAGCCCUCCUCUGUCCCCUUUCCCUCCCAGGUCCUCCCCUCUCCCCCUUGUGGUUGCUUUCUUGUCCCUCCCAAGUGGGACUGAGGUAUCGCCACUUGGGCUCUUCAGCUUCUUGACCUUUUUGAGUUAUGUGGACUGUAUCUUGGGUAUUUUGUACUUUUUUUUUAGCUAAUAUCCACUUAUUAGUGGAUUUGGGUCUGAGUUACCUCACUCAGGAUGAUAUUUUUUAGUUCCUUCCAUUUGCCUGCAACAUUCAGGAUGUCCUCGUUCUUAAUAACUGAGUAGUACUCCAUUGUGUAAAUGAACCACAUUUUCUGUAUCCAUUCUUCUGUUGUGGGACAUCUGGGUUGUUUCCAGCUUCUGGCUAUCACAAAUAAGGCUGGUAUAUUCCCAAGAGUGGUAUUGCUGGGUCUUUAGGUAAAUCUAUUUCCACUUUUCUGAGGAACCUCCAAAUUGAUUUCCAGAGUGGUUGUACCAGUUUGCAAUCCCACCAGCAAUGGAGGAGUGUUCUUUCUUCACAUCCUCACCAACAUGGUGCUGUUACCUGAGGUGUUAAUCUUAGACAUUCUGAUUGGUGUAAGGUGGAAUCUCAUGGUUGUUUUGAUUUGCUUUUCUCUGAUCACUAAGGACUUUGAACAUUUCUUUAGGUGCUUUGUAGCCAUUUGAGAUUCCUCUGUUGUGAAUUCUCAGUUUAGUUCUAUACCCCAUUAUUUGAUUGGGUGUUUGGUUUUUUUUGGUGGUUAGCUUCUUGAGUUCUUUAUAAAUUUUGGAUAUUAGCUCUCUAUCAGAUGUGGGGGUUAGUGAAAAAAUUUUUUCCCAAUCUGUAAAAUGUUGAUUUGUCCUAUUGACUAUGUCCUUUGCCUUACAGAAGCUUUCCAGUUUCAUGAGGUCCCAUUUAUCAAUUCUUGAUCUUAGAGAGUGAGCCAUUGGAGUUCUGUUAGGAAAUUUCCCCCUGUGCCAAUGAGUUCAAGGCUCUUUCCCACUUUCUUUUCUAUUAGAUUCAGUGUAUCUGGUUUUAUGUUGAGGUCCUUGAUCCACUUGGACUUGAGCUUUGUACAAGGUGACAAAUAUGGGUCUAUUUUCAUUUUUGUAAAUGCAGACAGCCAGUUAGACCAGCAUCAUUUAUUGAAGAUGCUUUCUUUUUUUCUAUUAUGUAUUUUUGGCUCCUUUGUCAAAGAUCAAGUGUGGAUAAGUGUGUGGUUCUAUUUCUGGGUCUUCAAUUCUAUUCCAUUGAUCUACCUGUCUCUAUACCAAUACCAUGCAGUUUUUAUCACUAUUGCUCUGUAGUAAAGUUUGAGUUCAGGGAUGGUGACUCCCCUAGCCAUUCUUUUAUUGUUAAGAAUUGUUUUUGCUAUUCUGGAUUUUUUUCCUUUCCAGAUGAAUUUGAGAAUUGCUUUUUUCAUGUCUUUGAAGAAUUGUGUUGGGAUUUUUGAUGGGGAUUGCACUGAAUCUGUAGAUUGCCUUUGGUAGGAUGGCCAUUUUUACUAUGUUAAUUCUGCUAAUCCAUGAACAUGGGCGAUCUCUCCAUCUUCUGAGAUCUUUGAUUUCUUUCCUCAGAGACUUGAAGUUAUUAUCAUACAGAUCUUUCACUUGUUUGGUUAGAGUUAUCCCAAGAAAUUUUAUAUUUUUUGUGGUUAUUGUGAAGGGAGUUGUUCCCUUAAUUUUUUCCUCAGCCUCUUUACCAUUUGUAUGUAUCAGGCUACUGAUUUAUUUGAGUUAAUUUUAUGUCCAGCCACUUCGCUGAAGUUGUUUAUCAGCUGGAGAAGUUCUCUUGUAGAAUUUUUGGGAUUGCUUAUGUAUAUUAACAUAUCAUCUGCAAAUAGUGAUACUUUUUUUUCUUUGCCAAUUUGUAUCCCCUUGAUCUCUUUUUGUUGUCUUAUUGUUCUAGCCAGCACUUCAGGUACUAUAUUGAAUAGAUAUGGGGAGAGUGGGUAUCCUUGUCUUGUCCCCAAUUUAAGUGGGAUUGCUUCAAGUAUCUCUCUCUUUAAUUUGAUAUUGGCUGUUGGCUUGCAGUAAAUUGUUUUUAUUAUGUUUAGGUCUGGGCCUUGGAUUCCUGAGCCCUCCAAUACUUUAAAAAUGAAGGGGUAUUGUAUUUUGUCAAAUGCUUUUUAUGCAUCUAAGGAGAUGAUCAUGUGAUUUUUUUUCUUUGAGUUUGUUUAUAUAGUAGAUUAUGUUCAUUGAUUUUUGUAUGUUGAACCAACCUUGGAUACCUGGGAUAAACCCUACUUGAUCAUGGUGAAUGAUUGUUUUGAUGUGUUAUUGGAUUCGGUUUGCAAAAAUUUUAUUGAGUAUUUUUUGUAUCAAUAUUCAUAAGCGAGAUUGGUCUGAAGGGUUUUUUUUGUUUGUUUGUUUUUGUUUUUUGUUGGGUCCUUGUGUGGUUUAGGUAUCAGAGUAAUUGUGGCUUCAUAGAGUGAGUUACAUAAUGUCCCUUCUGUUUCUAUGUUAUGGAACAGUUUAAGGAAUAUUGGUAUCAGGUCUUCUUUGAAGGUCUGGUAGAAUUCUAAACUAAAUCCAUCUGGCCCUAGGCAUUUUUUGGUUGGGAGGUUUUUAAUGACUUCUUCUAUUUCCUUAUGGGAUAUGGGCCUGUUUAGAAAGUUUACCUGCUUUUGAUUUAACUUUGGUAUGUGAUAUCUGUCUAGAAAACCAUCAAUUUCAUCUAGAUUUUCCAGUUUUGUUGAGUAUAGGCUUUUGUUGUAGGAUCUGAUGAUUUUUUUUAAUUUCCUCUGUUUCUGUUGUUAUGUCUCCCUUUUCAUUUCUGAUUUUGUGAAUUUGGAUACUGCCUCUGGGCCCUUUAAUUAGUUUGGCUGGGGGUUUAUCUAUUUCUCAAAGAACCAGCUUUUGGUCUUGUUGAUUCUUUGUAUUGUUCUCUUUGUUUCUAUUUGGUUGAUUUUAGCCAAUUAGUGUUUAAGGAUUUCCUGCCUUCUACUCCUCUUAGGUGAGUUUUCUUCUUUUUGUUCUAGAGCUCUCAGGUGUGCUGUUAAGUUGCUAGUAUAAGAUCUCUCCAGUUUGUUUACCAGGGCACUUAGUGCUAUGAAUUUUCUUCUUAGCAAUGCUUUCAUUGUGUCCCAUAAAUUUGGGUAUGAUGUGUCAACAUUUUCAUUAAAUUCCAGGAAGUCUUUAAUUUCUUUAUUUCUUUCCUAACCAAAUUAUCAUUGAGUAGAGAGUUGUUCAGUUUCUACUUGUAUGUGGGCUUUCUGUUGUUUUUGCUGUUAUUGAAGACAAGCCUUAGGCCGUAGUGGUCUGAUAGGGUGCAUGGGAUUAUUUCAAUCUUCUUAUAUCAGUUGAGGGUUGUUUUGUGACAAAUUAUUUGGUUGAUUUUGGAGAAGGUACCAUGAGGUGCUGAGAAGAAGGUGUAUUCUUUUGUUUUAGGGUGAAAUGUUCCACAGAAAUCUGUUAAAUCCAUUUGGUUCAUAACCUCUAUUAGUUUCACUGUGUCUUAGUUUAGUUUCUGUUUCCAUGAUCUGUCCAUUGGUGAGAGUGGGGCAUUGAAGUCUUCCACUAUUAUUGUGGGGGGUUUAAUGUGUGUUUUGAGCUUUAGUAAAGUUUCUUAUAUAAGUGUGGGUGCCCUUGCAUUGGGGCAUAGAUGUUUGGCAUUGAGACUUUCUCUUGGUGGAUUUCACCGGUAGCAUUUUCAUGCAAGUACAAGGACAAAAUUUCAUGCUUGGCUUACACAUUUGAUCUUCAUUGACGAUCAGUGUCUUUGGUUGGCGCAUCUAUACCCUGGUGACUAGCUUGCAUCCCCUGUUUCACUGUUGGCUGGCCUUGCAUUUACUCCUGGCUCGUUUCAGUUGUCGACUUCAUGUAACUUAAUAAGCGUGUAGUUGCUUUCAUUGUAAAUGAAAAUCACAGCCUCUUCAUGCAUCGAGGGAGCACAUUGCAGAUGUGAACAUCAUUUACAGGUGUUCCUCCAUUCAAUGCCCUCUCUGCUGGGCCUUUCUUCGAAACUCUACAGAUCUCUCAGGUACAAGCCAGUGUCCCCCUUUCCCCAAGAACUUUCUCCCAUCUGUCUUUGCCCAGCAGUAAUGUAUUUUUACUUCCUGAAUUGCUGUCUUGAGCUGUGUUUUAAAAUUUGCAUCCAUUUUCACCUUUGCUGGCUUGUCUCCUGAAUGAAAGCUGCCCAUUUCUGUAAGAGAAGCACAGUGGCUUUGGGAAUUCUACUCUCCCUAGAAAAGUCUGGAAGUGUGAUGUCACAGAGACCUGGACAACUGAGAAGCACACUGGGGAAAAUGGGAGUCUUCUGAGAAAAGGCAUGGAAGACCAAGCUUAUGUAGGUCACUGUGUAAGUCUGAUAUCUCAUGGAUUUGUCGGGCCUCACAGUGAUACACAGAACUAGGGGUGGUGAGCAGGAGGCCUGGGUUCUGUUUUCAGCCCCCAGAACCAGAUUCCUUGCCUAGCAUGUGGAGGACACCAGUUCUACCUCCAGCACUGAAAACACACGCUGCUGGGAGCCAGGCCUAGCAUCCAGAGCUGGGGACCGAACCCAGGGCCUUGCGCUUCCUAGGCAAGCGCUCUACCACUGAGCUAAAUCCCCAGCCCCAAAGCCAUUAAUUCUUGACAGUUCAUCUUCAUGUUGAUUUGCAGGAACUUUGACCAGUAGGGUGGGCUGAUGCCCAGGAAUCAUUAGGCUAUGUAAUAAUGUUAGGAAAGGCACAACAGCAGUGAGAAGCGAUCCUGGAUGAAGUCCCUGGGGCUGUGGCUCUCCAGAGCUCACCCAUCACGUACUGAAGGGCCCCAGUUCUUACUGAAGCAUAAGAGCUAUUAGGAGGCUUGGCCUGGUAGAAAGUAGGUAGGUUAUGAGGACCCUAAGGGCUUUCGCCAGCUUUAUACCCUGUCCAAAGAAUUUAGAAUAACACCCUGUUCCAGGAAAUGAGCUAACCACAAAGAGGGAAGGACCCUUAGCAGCCUCCCAUCUGAUGCCAAAGAUAUCUCACCAUUGAGGAAUGUAAGGGUCAAUGUGCAACAUCAAAGACCAACUCAUGCUAUUGCCAACGGCUGUCCUCCACAAGUGUAUAAAAAGUGUGUGCUUUUGCUACCCGGGGUCGCCUCUGUCCCGAUUACAGGGUCACCCAAGUGCACUGGAUCAUUAAACCUCUUGCUUGAUUGCAUCACUCUCCGUCUCCGUGUUUUCAUGAGUGGGACCUCCCGUACGGCAGCUGAUCCAGAAUGGUGAACCGUCUCAAGGAAACUCAUUUGCUUGCCAUAGACUUUCCUAGAUGGCUCCUGUCAGCAAACAGAUUAAGAACAGGCUUGGUGGCUCACUCCUGUAAUUCCAGUACUUACAAGCCUGAGGCAGAAGAAUUGCCAUGAAUAGGGCCACUGGACUACAUAAUGAGGUACAGACCAGCCUGAGCUACAGAAUGAGACCCUGUCAAAAACCAAACCAAACCAAACCAACAACCAACCAACCAACCAAGAAAUGAAAAAAACUACAAAGAAAGAAAAAGGAUGAACCCUUCAAGUUUCUUCACACACAAGACUAAGCAAAAGAGCCUUUUUAAUAAAAACUUUGCAAUAUGAAUAUUUAAUAGAAUCAAAACAAGUUCACAAAUGAAAAUUAGUACUUUAUUAGUGUGUGUAUAAAUAUAUAUAUAUAUGUAUAUGGUAAAAUGUAAGCUUGUUGCUGUGCUUGUUGAAUAAAUCUUCUGGUAAUUUCCAUUAUUUGCUUUUAUAAAUGAGCUCUUUUUUAAAAACCUUUAAUUUGGAAUUUUCAGCAUUCCACAUUUUGCUCUCAAAACAGCUGCUCCUGUUCUCUCCCCCUCCCCCACUCUACCUCAGCCAGAGAGGUGACAGAAUUGCCAAACCCAUACACAGAGCUGUGGUUGGAGUAGA